rnacentral:tRNA from 1 species
GGGGAUAUAGCUCAGUGGUUAAGUGCUUACGUUGCAUGCCUGAGGCCCUGGGUUCAAUCCCCAGUACCCCCC